rnacentral:rRNA from 1 species
CCUUCGGGGUACACGAGCGGCGAACGGGUGAGUAACACGUGGGUGAUCUGCCCUGCACUUCGGGAUAAGCCUGGGAAACUGGGUCUAAUACCGGAUAUGACCUCCGGCCGCAUGGUUGGUGGUGGAAAGAUUUAUCGGUGCAGGAUGGGCCCGCGGCCUAUCAGCUUGUUGGUGGGGUAAUGGCCUACCAAGGCGACGACGGGUAGCCGACCUGAGAGGGUGACCGGCCACACUGGGACUGAGACACGGCCCAGACUCCUACGGGAGGCAGCAGUGGGGAAUAUUGCACAAUGGGCGAAAGCCUGAUGCAGCGACGCCGCGUGAGGGACGACGGCCUUCGGGUUGUAAACCUCUUUCAGCAGGGACGAAGCGCAAGUGACGGUACCUGCAGAAGAAGCACCGGCUAACUACGUGCCAGCAGCCGCGGUAAUACGUAGGGUGCAAGCGUUGUCCGGAAUUACUGGGCGUAAAGAGUUCGUAGGCGGUUUGUCACGUCGUUUGUGAAAACUCACAGCUCAACUGUGAGCCUGCAGGCGAUACGGGCAGACUUGAGUACUGCAGGGGAGACUGGAAUUCCUGGUGUAGCGGUGAAAUGCGCAGAUAUCAGGAGGAACACCGGUGGCGAAGGCGGGUCUCUGGGCAGUAACUGACGCUGAGGAACGAAAGCGUGGGUAGCGAACAGGAUUAGAUACCCUGGUAGUCCACGCCGUAAACGGUGGG